UUAAAUCAUGUGCUGCUGCAACUACUGACCUUCAACACCUGCUGAAAGGAGUUUAGAGUGGAGAGCAGAACUGAGGCACUCUGUGCUGGGGGAAAGGUGACACAAGAUGAAUGCUGAAUCCUAGAGAAAUGGUUGGAAGAGGGACCAGAGUUGAGCCUCUCUGAUCUGGGAUGUGAAUGGACCCCUUGUAUGCACAUUUUGACAUACUGGGUGGAGGACUGGGAUGAUUUGGAAUACAAACCACAGAAGCACUUCACUGUUGAGUCCUCAGCUGGAGGUAACUAU